GCCAGCGGCGAGCGAUAGCAUGUUAGAAGCACCAAUUCCCAAUGGAUCACUGAAGCAACGUUGUGCGUGGUUGGUAUCUGGAUGGGUGACCAUCUGGAUAAUCGUGUGCUGCUGGCU
rnacentral:rRNA from 1 species